rnacentral:sRNA from 1 species
GUUCGCUGUUGAGAAGCUACCCGCGGGGUUGUAGACUUCGGACCUCAUGGCAGAGAUAAUUCAGGAACGCAUAGAAGAUCGGCUCCCGGAAUUGGAACAGCUGGAGCGCAUUGGACUGUUCAGUCAUGCGGAGAUUAAGGCUAUCAUUAAGAAGGCUUCCGAUCUAGAGUACAAAAUCCAGAGAAGAACCCUUUUCAAGGAAGACUUUAUCAAUUAUGUUCAAUAUGAAAUUAAUCUUUUGGAGCUGAUCCAGAGAAGAAGAACACGCAUUGGAUAUUCAUUUAAGAAGGAUGAGAUUGAGAAUUCUAUUGUACACCGGGUACAAGGUGUUUUCCAACGUGCCUCAGCAAAAUGGAAAGACGAUGUUCAACUUUGGCUCUCCUAUGUGGCUUUUUGUAAGAAGUGGGCUACUAAAACUCAACUUAGCAAGGUAUUCUCUGCCAUGUUGGCGAUUCAUUCCAACAAACCAGGUAUGGUGAAAUCUUUGUCAAUUUUUCUACAUUUUAUUUAGACUCAAGCCAUUUUGGAUUUUAUUUCGAUUGGUGAAUCUAAGAGAAAUUAUUUUGAGGACUUGAGCUUAGG